CACGUAGUUAGCCGUGGCUUUCUGGUUAGGUACCGUCAAGACUUGUUCAGUUACUAACAAAUUUGUUCUUCCCUAACAACAGAGUUUUACUAUCCUAAGACCUUCAUCACUCACGCGGCGUUGCUCCGUCAGGCUUUCGCCCAUUGCGGAAGAUUCCCUACUGCUGCCUCCCGUAGGAGUCUGGACCGUGUCUCAGUUCCAGUGUGGCCGAUCACCCUCUCAGGUCGGCUACGUAUCGUUGCCUUGGUAAGCCGUUACCUUACCAACUAGCUAAUACGGCGCGGGUCCAUCUAUAAGUGACAGCCGAAACCGUCUUUCAACAUUGAACCAUGCGGUUCAAUAUAUUAUCCGGUAUUACGCCCCCGGUUUCCCGGAGUUUACUCCCAGUCCUUAGUACGGUAGGUUACCCACGUGUUACUCCACCCGUCCGCCGCUAACAUCAGACGAAGCAAGCUUACUCAUCUGUUCGCUCGACUUGCUAUGUAUUAGGCACGCCGCAGCGUUCAUCCUGACGCCAAGGAUUACCGAAACUUCU
rnacentral:rRNA from 1 species